rnacentral:rRNA from 1 species
UACGAAGGGGGCUAGCGUUGUUCGGAAUUACUGGGCGUAAAGGGCGCGUAGGCUGUGCUGUAAGUCAGGCGUGAAAGCCCCGGGCUCAACCUGGGAAUUGCGCUUGAUACUGCGGCGCUGGAAGGUGGGAGAGGAUGGCGGAAUUCCCAGUGUAGAGGUGAAAUUCGUAGAUAUUGGGGAAGAACACCGAUGGCGAAGGCAGCCAUCUGGACCGACACUGACGCGUGAGGCGCGAAAGCGUGGGGAGC